UACAGAGACUGCAAGCGUUAUUCGGAUUCACUGGGCGUAAAGGGUGCGCAGGCGGUUGGGUGUGUCAGAUGUGAAAUCCCGAGGCUCAACCUCGGAACUGCGUCUGAAACUACUCGACUAGAGUACUGGAGAGGGUAACGGAAUUCACGGUGUAGCAGUGAAAUGCGUAGAUAUCGGGAGGAACACCAGUGGCGAAGGCGGUUGCCUGGAGCUUUGCUGACGCUGAGGCGCGAAAGCGUGGGGAGCGAUCCGG
rnacentral:rRNA from 1 species